ACUUAGUGUGCUGCUGCUUCUGCUUCAGGACGCAAGACAAACCCCUCCACAUCUGUCCGGCUGUACUAAGCUUCUGCUCUUUUAUCUAGAGAGCCCUAGAAAAAAUGGCAACAUUCGAGCAAGCUCCACCUGGUGAUCUAAAGGCAGGAGAGAAGAUCUUCAAAACUAAGUGUGCCCAAUGCCACACCGUCGAAAAAGGUGCUGGCCACAAACAAGGACCCAAUUUGCAUG
rnacentral:misc_RNA from 1 species